GACAGAGGGGGCAAGCGUUGCUCGGAAUCACUGGGCGUAAAGGGCGCGUAGGCGGGAUGGCAAGUCGGUCGUGAAAUCCCUCGGCUCAACCGAGGAGCGUCGGCCGAUACUGCCGUUCUUGAGGGAUGCAGAGGAGACUGGAAUUCCCGGUGUAGCGGUGAAAUGUGUAGAGAUCGGGAGGAACACCGGUGGCGAAGGCGGGUCUCUGGGCAUUUCCUGACGCUGAGGCGCGAAAGCGUGGGGAGCAAACGGG
rnacentral:rRNA from 1 species